UACGAAGGGUGCAAGCGUUAAUCGGAAUUACUGGGCGUAAAGGGUGCGUAGGCGGUUGUUUAAGUCUGUCGUGAAAUCCCCCGGGCUCAACCUGGGAAUGGCGAUGGAUACUGGACAGCUAGAGUGUGUCAGAGGAUGGUGGAAUUCCCGGUGUAGCGGUGAAAUGCGUAGAGAUCGGGAGGAACAUCAGUGGCGAAGGCGGCCAUCUGGGGACAACACUGACGCUGAAGCACGAAAGCGUGGGGAGCAAACAGG
rnacentral:rRNA from 1 species